AAGUUGGGGUUCAGGGGCCCCCCCAAAUCCCGGACGAGCCCCCAAAUGAUAGACCCCCAAAACAGGGUACUACCUUCUCGGGAAGAGGGGCCCCAAAAUUCCAGACUCC
rnacentral:pre_miRNA from 11 species